GGGCCCGCACAAGCAGCGGAGCGUGUGGUUUAAUUCGACGCAACGCGAAGAACCUUACCAGGACUUGACAUCGCCUGGAAUAGUGCGGAAACGUGCUAGUCCUUCGGGACCAGGUGACAGAUGCUGCAUGGCUGUCGUCAGCUCGUGCCGUGAGGUGUUGGGUUAAGUCCCGCAACGAGCGCAACCCUCGUCGCUAGUUGAAUGUUCUAGCGAGACUGCCGGGAUAAACUCGGAGGAAGGUGGGGAUGACGUCAAGUCAUCACGGCUCUUACGUCCUGGGCUACACACACGCUACAAUGGGUGGUACAAAGGGUCGCGAUAGCGCGAGCUGGAGCCAAUCCCAAAAAGCCAUCCUCAGUUCAGAUCGGAGGCUGCAACUCGCCUCCGUGAAGGCGGAGUUGCUAGUAACCGCCGGUCAGCACACGGCGGUGAAUACGUUCCCGGGCCUU
rnacentral:rRNA from 1 species